GUAAAAUCUGUGUUUGUUUGUUAUUGAUUUCGACCAGGUGGUAUACGCUGCAUAAAACUGUUGUAGUAACUCAGCAAUAGGAUUUUUGCUAUUGUGAUUUCUAAGAGACGAAAAGUGGAGCUCAAAAUUGUUGAAGAGAAAACAGGAAAAGUGAUAUACACUAGCAUUUUGGGAGGCAAAUAAGCUGAUCGGUUAAAAUGAUUGUGGUUGGAAUAGCGUAUUUUCCCACAGAAUAUAAAUGUAUACGUAUAAUUUAAUACUGUGAGCUCAGUACUGUUGUAGUGGCUGUUGGAAGGCUUCUUCAGAGGUGACUUCCGUUUAAACAUGUUGAGAUGUUAAGUAAUGGAGUUGUUGAACACCACUGAAGUAUAUAGCGAUGAAACUCUCUAAAACCAGGAAGAUACUGUGGGAAAUUUAUAUUUGCAAAACAAGAUGCUAAAAUAGCAGAUGUAACGAGUGAUGUCGUCGUCACCAUGUUGUAUGUGCUUGAAAUAGUUUACACCAUGUUUAUGGCAUUAAUGGUUAAAACAGGUGGGUGGAAUCAUGACUUUCCCCCAAUAUACCUUUUAUAAUAGAGAAGUAGAUCACUUUAUAUCCUAAGAACAAAAUCAGUUUAUAUAGUUUGUGUUUUGAUUAAUUAAUUAAAAAUAGUGCUAUGUUCCAAGAACCAUUGGUCUGCUUCUUUCAAAAUGGUGCAGAUUACAUUGCUUUUUACACUCUGUGUCUUUUUUGUGCUUAUGGCUACAUAAUGGCUAUUUACAGAUUACCAGCCAGCUUAUUGGCUUAAAAGUAAUAAUAAUGAACAUAUUGGUCUGUGUCACUGUUCAUGUUACUGUUACAAGAUGUUUACAUCUACUUCUGAAUAGCACAAUCAAUCAUUGUAGUCUUUUAUACCACAAGUUUUUUGUUAAAUAUCCAUCUUUAGAGCACAAUUUGCCAGAAGAAGAUAUUUCAGUUCAGAUUUAAAUUUGUGUAAAGAUUUAUAGCAGCCAGUUGCCUUUGGUUUUAUUCUUCAGUUGCUGUUCACCACGACUGCUUUUAAAUUGACAAGCGAUUUAUCAUUAGAUGGUAAAUAUUUAUUGCAUAUUUGCAGCAUUCUUGUGGCUCAUGUAGUUAUGGCAAGAGAACAAAACAUAUAUGCACCGAAUGUGGUGAGAAGUAUGUACUGUUCACACCUGGCCAUAGCUGCAAAACUCCAACAAUGCUACAAACAUGCAAUAAAUAUAUACCAUCUAAUGAUAGUGAUCCAAAACUGGUCUUGGUUAAUAAAGAUUGAAAAAUAAUACAAAAGGUGGCUGAUAGUAAUUUCUGGAAAGUUUCAAAAUUUUUGGGCACAUGUCAGAUUAUAUUAGUGGGAAAAUAAUAGAAAACUUUUGUGGCUAUUGUUGAAAGCUUUUGUGAACCUUUGCCAUACUUAGUGAUAAAAAUGAUUAUUAUGUUUGUUCUGAAUUUUGAUUAACAUAACCUCUUGGUUUACAGACAGCUAUGGUGGCGCAGGUUUGUUCGUUAUGUACAUCAUUCCACGUACUUAGACCGAGCAAAAGCUGCACAUGCAAUGCAAAUAGAGCAAAACAUAUGUUACUUUUAUUGUUGUCAUUGUCAGCAUCAGUGGGAAGUACAUCAGUGGGUUGGUGGACAGGGCAACAUUUGGCUCUCCCCUUCCUGUGCACCGUACUGUGUCUGAGAAAGCUUUGUGGUGCCUAAAAAGUCAGUUAUUAUAGGUGGCACAUAGGUGUCAAGAAAGAACUGCACUUGGCUGCAUCCUAGCCACUGCCACAAUCAGUUACUUUAUUUAACGUGUAGUGUGGUUGUGAAAAAUCAGUUCAAGGUGAACUGUGAUCUGCACUAGUACUAUGGUAUGAAGAUAUUUGAGAAGCUCCCAUUUAUCGUACAGCAGGUAAUUAUUUAUCUCAGCCAAUUUAAAGGAAAAUUUAAAACAUACCUCAUUAGUGUCUCCUUCCACUGAUUGUCUUAGUGCAAGGAUUUGAUUCCUUCUUCAGAUGGAUGGCAAGAAGUGUGUUGUAAACUGUCCUGUGUAAUUACAUAUUUAGGUUAUUGUUUUCUUUGAAAAAAUACUUGAUUAAUGAAGUAAAUAUUAAGUUUCUGAUAAGACAGCCUGCAGCUACCUAAUAUAACUGAAUUAGCAGCUGCUUUCUUUUUAAUUCACUUGAACACAUUUAACUGGUCUCAAAUGAAAAACAGCCCACAGUUGCACUAAGUUAUGUUUAUUUUAAACCUUGACCAUCGUUUCAGAAAAAGUCGUACACACUAAUAAAUGAAAAAUGUCUUAGCCCAGCAGCUGUGUCAAGACCAAUAAAAUAACUUCAACAGACAUAAGCCUGUUUCAAACAUAAGUAAAAUUACAUAUGGCACUGAAUGUCCUACGCCACUACCACUGUUACACUACAGUCACUGGGCUAAGACAUUUUUCAUUUAUUAGUGUGUAUGACUUCUGAAGAUGGCUAUAUUAUUAUAGCUGAAACCAUGGUCAAGGUUUAAAAUAAACAUAAUUUAGUGCAACUGUGGGCUGUUUUUCAUUCGAGACAAUUUCGUAAUGGUUGCUGUUGUCACUGCCAUGAUGAAAAUAAUGGGACAUUUAACUGGUAUAAACAGACCUAGUAUUAAGCAGUAUUGUGAUAGUUCCUUGUUAAUAUAGUGUACAGCUUAAGCAAUGUUUGAUUGUCUUUUAUUAAUGUGUGCCUUCACUUGUUCCUUAGCCCUGUAGGUUCACCUUCUUGAUGGGAUGUACAGAAUACGAUGAAUGCGUAGAAGAAAUAUCUGUUCUUUUGAAAUUGUGUUGGUUUAUUUAUGUCAAGCAGCUGAGGAAGUUAGGAGAGAGACGUGCAGGGUCCUGGAGAAGGCAAAAAUGCCCAAGAACAACAUAACUUCUGCUGAAUG